UUCAAAAGUAAAAUCUCUUGGUAAGUAGUUUGUAUCCAUAAAAAAUACAGCUGACAUACUCCCAAAUUGUUUUUCGUUAAAAACAACCCCAUUUUGGGAAACUUAAAAACUGUUUCGAACACCUUUCACACUUUAAAUUUCGCAGUGUUAGGGGUGGCCCAAUAAUCAAGUGUGACACAUAAAGGACACGCGCACCCUUUCGCUUAUCCUUUUGGCAGAUGAAACCAAAACACCAAACAAAAUCGUUCAAAAAUACACGAAAAAACUGAAAUUGGCAAUAAAAACUAAAAAAAAAAUCGAAUUUCAUGUCACGCUUGGCAAACUAGCUCGAAAUCACAGCCGCGCCCCUUCAUUAAAGCGAGGGGCUCAAUCAAGGAAGAGUUGUGGAAACCAACUUGAAAAUGGGUGAAAAAAAUUGCAAAUUGAUACAAAAAAGAGGAGAGCAAAGGGAAACGACGACAGGCGCACAAAAGGGGCCUGUCAGCUCGUGCGUGGUUGAUUGUAGGGUUGAGCUCUGCCAGGAUAACUGAGCACGUGCGCAACGAAAGGAUUUGCAAAAAAAAAAAAAAAAAAUGAAAACAAUACAAUAUAGCGCAACAAAAAAUGAAAAUUUCAUUGAUUUUCCAAAUGAAAAUGCGUUAAUUUUUGAGCUGCAGCACUUGCGGGUGCUGCCUGGGGAGGCAGACAGGAUAACAGUCAGAACAAUAAUGAUUACGAGGAGCGGUAGCCUUUCACAUGGGUAGCAACCCCUUCGACCAGCAGUCGCAAUUAGAUGACUCGUAUAUGUUGCCCAACGCCUGCUGCAAGGACACGCACAACAUGGUCAGUCGGCGGCUACCUUCAAUUCGCAUGACCAGCGUAUCCAUAUCCCUUUAGAGCAACCCCCGACGAAAAUGGCACAGCACACAGCACUCUGGACACGACAGCUGGUCAGUGUAGGUCAGCGAGUGACCUACAAAUGCCGCCAAAAAUGAACAGCCAAAAGAACUGACUGGCCAAAAAGGAUGCUACAGACUCGUAGUGCUUGUCCAUUUGAUGGACGCACCCUGAACUGACAAUUUUAAUGAGCCGAACGGCAGGCAAAAUUCCCUCAUAAUAUAGAACAAACAAAAA